rnacentral:rRNA from 2 species
UUCCGGUUGAUCCUGCCGGACCUGACUGCUAUCGGAUUGAUACUAAGCCAUGCGAGUCAUUGUAGCAAUACAAGGCAGACGGCUCAGUAACGCGUAGUCAAUCUACCCUAUGGACGGGAAUAACCUCGGGAAACUGAGAAUAAUGCCCGAUAGAACAUUAUGCCUGGAAUGGUUUAUGUUUCAAAUGAUUUAUCGCCAUAGGAUGGGACUGCGGCCUAUCAGCUUGUUGGUGAGGUAAUGGCCCACCAAGACUAUUACAGGUACGGGCUCUGAGAGGAGUAGCCCGGAGAUGGGUACUGAGACACGGACCCAGGCCCUAUGGGGCGCAGCAGGCGAGAAAACUUUGCAAUGUGCGAAAGCACGACAAGGUUAAUCCGAGUGGUUUCUGCUAAAGAAACCUUUUGUCAGUCCUAGAAACACUAACGAAUAAGGGGUGGGCAAGUUCUGGUGUCAGCCGCCGCGGUAAAACCAGCACCUCAAGUGGUCAGGAUGAUUAUUGGGCCUAAAGCAUCCGUAGCUCGUUUUGUAAGUUUUCGGUUAAAUCCAUGCGCUUAACGUAUGGGCUGCCGGGAAUACUGCAUAACUAGGAAGUGGGAGAGGUAGACGGUACUCGGUAGGAAGGGGUAAAAUCCUUUGAUCUAUUGAUGACCACCUGUGGCGAAGGCGGUCUACCAGAACACGUUCGACGGUGAGGGAUGAAAGCUGGGGGAGCAAACCGGAUUAGAUACCCGGGUAGUCCCAGCUGUAAACUAUGCAAACUCAGUGAUGCAUUGGCUUGUGGCCAAUGCAGUGCUGCAGGGAAGCCGUUAAGUUUGCCGCCUGGGAAGUAUGUACGCAAGUAUGAAACUUAAAGGAAUUGGCGGGGGAGCACCACAA